GACGAACGCUGGCGGCGUGCUUAACACAUGCAAGUCGAACGGGAUUUAGUAGACAGAAGCCUCGGCUAAAGAUUACUAAUGAGAGUGGCGAACGGGUGAGUAACGCGUGAGCAACCUGCCUAUGACAGUGGGAUAGCCUCGGGAAACCGGGAUUAAUACCGCAUAAAAUCGUAGAAACACAUGUUUUAACGGUCAAAGAUUUAUCGGUCAUAGAUGGGCUCGCAUCGGAUUAGCUAGUUGGUGAGAUAACAGCCCACCAAGGCGACGAUCAGUAGCCGGUCUGAGAGGAUGAACGGCCACAUUGGAACUGAGACACGGUCCAAACUCCUACGGGAGGCAGCAGUGGGGAAUAUUGCACAAUGGGGGAAACCCUGAUGCAGCGACGCCGCGUGAACGAAGAAGGUAUUCGUAUCGUAAAGUUCUGUCCUAUGGGAAGAUAAUGACAGUACCAUAGAAGAAAGCUCCGGCUAAAUACGUG
rnacentral:rRNA from 1 species